CUCCUCUCAGAAUCGUACCUGGAGAGUUUCCGGUACUCUACAAGUCUUGGCUAUGGGAAGGGGAGUAAAGCAGAGGCAUAUCCAUUCCAUUCCUAGCUUGGCCAGUGGCUAGUAAGUGGAAGGCAAUCUGCUACACAU